rnacentral:rRNA from 1 species
UACGGGGGGAGCAAGCGUUGUUCGGAUUUACUGGGCGUAAAGGGCGCGUAGGCGGCCACGACAAGUCACUUGUGAAAUCUCCGGGCUUAACCCGGAACGGUCAAGUGAUACUGUCGGGCUAGAGUGCAGAAGGGGCAACUGGAAUUCUCGGUGUAGCGGUGAAAUGCGUAGAUAUCGAGAGGAACACCUGCGGCGAAGGCGGGUUGCUGGGCCGACACUGACGCUGAGGCGCGAAAGCCAGGGGAGCGAACGGG